GCCGAUGUAGCUCAGCUGGUCAGAGCAACUGAUUUGUAAUCAGUAGGUCGGGGGUUCGAAUCCCUCCAUCGGCU
rnacentral:tRNA from 1 species